rnacentral:rRNA from 1 species
UGGGGAAUAUUGGACAAUGGGCGCAAGCCUGAUCCAGCAAUGCCGCGUGGGUGAAGAAGGUCUUCGGAUUGUAAAGCCCUUUCGGCGGGGACGAUGAUGACGGUACCCGCAGAAGAAGCCCCGGCUAACUUCGUGCCAGCAGCCGCGGUAAUACGAAGGGGGCUAGCGUUGCUCGGAAUGACUGGGCGUAAAGGGCGCGUAGGCGGAUCGGAUAGUCAGGCGUGAAAUUCCUGGGCUCAACCUGGGGGCUGCGCUUGAUACGUUUGAUCUGGAGUGGGGAAGAGGGUCGUGGAAUUCCCAGUGUAGAGGUGAAAUUCGUAGAUAUUGGGAAGAACACCGGUGGCGAAGGCGGCGACCUGGUCCUUGACUGACGCUGAGGCGCGAAAGCGUGGGGAGCAAACAGGAUUAGAUACCCUGGUAGUCCACGCCGUAAACGAUGUGCGCUGGAUGUUGGGGGGCUUAGCCCUUCAGUGUCGUAGCUAACGCGAUAAGCGCACCGCCUGGGGAGUACGGCCGCAAGGUUG